rnacentral:rRNA from 1 species
AGCGAACGCUGGCGGCAGGCCUAACACAUGCAAGUCGAACGAACUCUUCGGAGUUAGUGGCGGACGGGUGAGUAACGCGUGGGAACGUGCCUUUUUGUUCGGAAUAACUCAGGGAAACUUGUGCUAAUACCGAAUGUGCCCUUCGGGGGAAAGAUUUAUCGCCCUUAGAGGGGCCCGCGUCUGAUUAGCUUGUUGGUGAGGUAACGGCUGACCAAGGCGGCGAUCAGUAGCUGGUCUGAGAGGAUUACCCGCCACACUUGGACUGGGACACGGCCCAGACUCCUACGGGAGGCAGGAGUGGGGAAUCUAGCGCAAUGGGCGAAAGCCUGACGCAGCCAGGCCGGGUGAAUGAUGAAGGUCUUAGGAUUGUAAAAUUCUUUCACCGGUGACGAUAAUGACGGUACCCGGAGAAGAAGCCCCGGCUAACUUCGUG